CCUACGGGCGGCAGCAGUAGGGAAUAUUGCUCAAUGGGGGCAACCCUGAAGCAGCAACGCCGCGUGGAGGAUGAAGGUUUUCGGAUUGUAAACUCCUUUUGUUAGAGAAGAUAAUGACGGUAUCUAACGAAUAAGCACCGGCUAAAUCCGUGCCAGCAGCCGCGGUAAUACGGAGGGUGCAAGCGUUACUCGGAAUCACUGGGCGUAAAGAGCGCGUAGGCGGGAUAGCAAGUCAGAUGUGAAAUCCUAUGGCUUAACCAUAGAACUGCAUUUGAAACUGUUAUUCUAGAGUAUGGGAGAGGUAGGUGGAAUUCUUGGUGUAGGGGUGAAAUGCGUAGAGAUCAAGAGGAAUACUCAUUGCGAAGGCGACCUGCUAGAACAUAACUGACGCUGAUGCGCGAAAGCGUGGGGAGCAAACAGGAUUAGAUACCCGUGUAGUC
rnacentral:rRNA from 1 species